AAAUUUUCUUGUGCUCUAUAAAUCUUAAUGUAAAAACCUUAAAAAAAAUAUUAUUAAGCUUGUAGAACAUCAAGUAUUACAAUCUAUUUUUUUCAGUUUAGGUAAUACUUAACUACUUCGAACAAGCAAAAUGUGUUGUGGACCUUGUGGGGCUUGUGGACCAUGUAGUGGAUGCUGCGGUGGCUGUUGCUGCCCAAACAUCACCAUCUACACGUGCUGUACCAAGAUCUGUUAACAUUCAUUGGCCGAGUGAACCUCAAGACUUUGCGAAUUAGCGUUGGAGCGCUCGGUUCUCUAGAUGUAAGACUUAUUUGGUGACGUUUUGUGAAUAAAAUAUAAAAAUUA